AAAUAGGCGGGGUAUAACGGCGUAAUAAUACGGAACCAAUAAAUAGUCCCAGGAGACGAGCCCUCUAGCAGAACUGAAAACGCACACAAGAUCUAAGCGUUAGGAUUUUACAGAGGAUAAACCGAAAGUCAAAAAAGAUGAACCCUUCUACUAUUUACACAGGCCUUGGUCUUUUAGUAUGUUUCCUAGCAACAGUGACCUUAACCUAUACCUCAGAACUUGGCGAAAUGUCGGAGGAAACAGCUGAGAAUUAUCUUCCAAACAUCCGGUACUUUUUGAACAAUAUGAAAAAUGAUGGUUUAUCGCUAGAAGCCCCACCUCACGUAUACAUGAAUAAAUUAAAGCGAUAUUUUCACGAAUCAAAACUGGCAGCGAAAAGAAAUGGAUUUUGGAUCUGGAUGCCAGCUCAAGGUUACGUUCCAGUGGAAGCAAACGACAGGACCGCAGAAUCCAAAAAUUCCGGAAGCGCUAAUGUUCUCCGAUAUGGCUAAUUACAAUGACAUACUUGCUAAUGCUUAUGCAAAUUUCGAUUCAAAUGUGCCAACAGAAUUGAACUGAUUCAUAGUUAUAACCGUAUCAUUUUUAGAAGAAAAAAGAACGCUGAACUAUGAAAGAAAAAAUAUUUUACAGUUCGGUAAAACUUUUUAUGUAAAAUAACAUUCAUUUUGUCAUUGUUGCAGGAAAAAUAAAAGUGUUAUUAACGAUA